rnacentral:rRNA from 1 species
AACUAGGUGUGUUAUAUAUCUAGCUUUUUCUGCUCAAUGAGAAUUUUUAAUAGCCGCAGUACCCUGACUGUGCAAAGGUAGCAUAAUCAGUUGGCUCAUAAUUGGAGUCUUGUAUGAACGAUCGCAUGGGUGGAACCUGUCUCUGAGCGAUUAACAGAACUUUUUAAGUAAGUGAAAAUACUUACUGGUGUUUUAAAAGACGAGAAGACCCUAGAAAUUUUUCACUAAGGGUGUACAGUAGCGUUUUGGUGUUUUGCUGGGGCGGCAGAGUAACAUUUAAGUAACUUACUCUACAUAUUAAACUUUUAUUUACAGACAAGACAUAAUUACUCUAGGGAUAACAGCGUAAUUCUUUUAGUGUUUGCGACCUCGAUGUUGGACUAGGGAAGAGAGCACCCAGAAGGUGCUCUUGUACGUUCUGUUCGAACGGCUUCUCCUACAUG